AACCCGUGAUAAACUAAUCUUGAAACAAUAACAGGUCAAACAGCCGGUGCUUUUCCUCUCUGGACUGCAAGAUGAGAUGGUCCCUCCAUUUCACAUGAAAUUGCUGUAUGCGAAAGCAGCUGCCCGUAAUCCUCAGUGCACCUUUGUGGAGUUUCCAAAUGGGAUGCAUAUGGAUACAUGGCUUUCUGGUGGUGACCUUUACUGGAAAACAAACGUGCAGUUUCUUGAAAAGCAUGCGGCUGAGAAAGGAAGGACGAUAGGGGAAGGUAAAUGAGUUGAUGAUGUUGUGAUUAGAGGAGGAUUUGACUCACUUGGCUCCUACAACUGCAACUUGAAACGACAGUAUCUUUAUAAGGCAUGUUUAUACGUAUGUUGCAUUUGGGAGUGAUAGAUACAACCUGUUCUGAGAGUGAGAUAUUGGAGAGAUACUUUGUAAGCAGAACCAGCUAGUGGAGAUGGCAAAUGUAGGUUAAUCAGAUGCAUUUGCUUCGUCUCAUUUUUGUUUUUUUUUUUGGUUAUUUUUUCAAGUGUUGGUGUUUCUCUCUCUGAUCGUAACCAUUUUCCUCUGAAUGAUCAUUGCUGUGUAGAUGAUUGAGAAAGUGCAAAGACAUGGUUAUAUAAUUAAAAUCUUGAAUUUGUCUAUCA